UAAUGGGUGAUGGCGUGCCUUUUGUAGAAUGAACCGGCGAGUUACGAUUUGAUGCAAGGUUAAGCAGUAAAUGUGGAGCCGUAGCGAAAGCGAGUCUGAAUAGGGCGUUUAGUAUUUGGUCGUAGACCCGAAACCAGGUGAUCUACCCUUGGUCAGGUUGAAGUUCAGGUAACACUGAAUGGAGGACCGAACCGACUUACGUUGAAAAGUGAGCGGAUGAACUGAGGGUAGCGGAGAAAUUCCAAUCGAACCUGGAGAUAGCUGGUUCUCUCCGAAAUAGCUUUAGGGCUAGCCUCAAGUGAUGAUUAUUGGAGGUAGAGCACUGUUUGGACGAGGGGCCCCUCUCGGGUUACCGAAUUCAGACAAACUCCGAAUGCCAAUUAAUUUAACUUGGGAGUCAGAACAUGGGUGAUAAGGUCCGUGUUCGAAAGGGAAACAGCCCAGACCACCAGCUAAGGUCCCAAAAUAUAUGUUAAGUGGAAAAGGAUGUGGCGUUGCCCAGACAACUAGGAUGUUGGCUUAGAAGCAGCCAUCAUUUAAAGAGUGCGUAAUAGCUCACUAGUCGAGUGACACUGCGCCGAAAAUGUACCGGGGCUAAACAUAUUACCGAAGCUGUGGAUUGUCCUUUGGACAAUGGUAGGAGAGCGUUCUAAGGGCGUUGAAGCAUGAUCGUAAGGACAUGUGGAGCGCUUAGAAGUGAGAAUGCCGGUGUGAGUAGCGAAAGACGGGUGAGAAUCCCGUCCACCGAUUGACUAAGGUUUCCAGAGGAAGGCUCGUCCGCUCUGGGUUAGUCGGGUCCUAAGCUGAGGCCGACAGGCGUAGGCGAUGGAUAACAGG
rnacentral:rRNA from 1 species